rnacentral:piRNA from 1 species
UNCAGCAGGAUCAGAAGCUGAUGGCGUGU